rnacentral:rRNA from 1 species
UACGUAGGUGGCAAGCGUUGUCCGGAAUCAUUGGGCGUAAAGGGUGCGUAGAUGGCAUGAUAAGUUAUUAGUGGGAAAUCGAGGCUCAACCUCGUGGAAGCUAGUAAUACUGUUUUGCUUGAGUACAGAAGAGGUUAACGGAACUCCAUGUGGAGCGGUAAAAUGCGUAGAUAUAUGGAAGAACACCAAUAACGGCGAAGGCAGUUAACUAUUCUGUUACUGACAUUGAGGCACGAAAGCGUGGGGAGCAAAACGG